CGGGUGAGUAAUAUAUUGGAACGUGCCCAGUAGUGGGGGAUAGCCCGGCGAAAGCCGGAUUAAUACCGCAUACGACCUACGGGUGAAAGGGGGGGAUCGCAAGACCUCUCGCUAUUGGAGCGGCCGAUAUCAGAUUAGCUAGUUGGUGGGGUAAAAGCUCACCAAGGCGACGAUCUGUAGCUGGUCUGAGAGGACGACCAGCCACACUGGGACUGAGACACGGCCCAG
rnacentral:rRNA from 1 species